UGGCUUUGAAAAGCAUCGUAUGACAUCAUCUUUAUGGAAAACGGCCUUCUUCAUUAUGUUCUGUUCGGGUGAAUAGUAAAAUUCCUUUGCAUUCUUCAAGCUCGCCCUGGCUAAGGGUUAGGCAGGAAUCUGAAUGUGCCAAGUUCCUGGAGCAGCUGAACUGGGAACAAAGCUUAGCUAUGAAUAACACACACCCGGGUAAUCACAGGGUCGUGAUGACCUGCACAGAAGGCCGCCACCGGCAGGACACCUUCCUUUAUGAAGCUCCUUCCCAGGGACCUCAGAGAGCUCAUCUGGUGGGAAGCAUGAUUCAUCGUCAAUCUUGUGGCAACCGUUCAUCAGUCUUUUAGAAUCAUGAAGAAUCACUGUAUUCAUCAUAUUUGUAGUUUCUCUA